rnacentral:rRNA from 1 species
ACGAACGCUGGCGGCGUGCUUAACACAUGCAAGUCGAACGGAAAGGCCCUGCUUUUGUGGGGUGCUCGAGUGGCGAACGGGUGAGUAACACGUGAGUAACCUGCCCUUGACUUUGGGAUAACUUCAGGAAACUGGGGCUAAUACCGGAUAAGAGCUCCUGCUGCAUGGUGGGGGUUGGAAAGUUUCGGCGGUUGGGGAUGGACUCGCGGCUUAUCAGCUUGUUGGUGGGGUAGUGGCUUACCAAGGCUUUGACGGGUAGCCGGCCUGAGAGGGUGACCGGCCACAUUGGGACUGAGAUACGGCCCAGACUCCUACGGGAGGCAGCAGUGGGGAAUAUUGCACAAUGGGCGGAAGCCUGAUGCAGCAACGCCGCGUGCGGGAUGACGGCCUUCGGGUUGUAAACCGCUUUCGCCUGUGACGAAGCGUGAGUGACGGUAAUGGGUAAAGAAGCACCGGCUAACUACGUG